rnacentral:rRNA from 1 species
UACGUAGGGGGCAAGCGUUGUCCGGAUUUAUUGGGCGUAAAGAGCGUGUAGGCGGCCUUACAGGUCAGCUGUGAAACUCGAGGCUCAACCUCGAGACGUCGGUUGAAAUCGUAUGGCUAGAGUCCGGGAGAGGUGAGUGGAACUGCGAGUGUAGAGGUGAAAUUCGUAGAUAUUCGCAAGAACACCAGUGGCGAAGGCGGCUCACUGGCCCGGUACUGACGCUGAGGUGCGAAAGCGUGGGGAGCAACAGG